rnacentral:rRNA from 1 species
AGGACGAACGCUGGCGGCGUGCUUAACACAUGCAAGUCGGACGGUGAACCACCUUCGGGUGGGGAUCAGUGGCGAACGGGUGAGUAACACGUGAGUAACCUGCCCUUCACUCUGGGAUAACUCCGGGAAACCGGGGCUAAUACUGGAUACGACCUACUCGGGCAUCUGAUGUAGGUGGAAAGAUUUAUCGGUGAGGGAUGGACUCGCGGCCUAUCAGCUUGUUGGUGAGGUAAUGGCUCACCAAGGCGACGACGGUA